GAUUCCCUCUUACUGAUUCUACUACUGGAAGCUUAGAAGACCUGAUCCGAGCUGUCAGAAUCAUGGAAACGAUAAACGGACAUGGAAGACAAGGAAAAAGCAAUGGGAAGAACAAAAAAAUGGCAAAAGGCACCAACGGUGAAGAGAGGAAAGAGUGACUAUCUGAAAUUCCCGACCGCAGAGAGUUGUGGAGGCUGGAUCACCGAAGAGUACAGCACCGAAACCCACAUCACUCUCAUCAACAGCUAUUUUGAAUGGCUUUCUGUAAUGAGGUGUGGCUAAUACCGGGACAUAGGUUAACACAGCUUUCAAUAUGUCAAAUGCCUUCUGACAUUCCUCUGUCCACUGAAAUUUUCUGCAUUUCAUCAACAAGUCCAUUAGUGGAGCAACCAC